CUGGUGCCAGCAGCCGCGGUAAUUCCAGCUCCAAUAGCGUAUAUUAAAGUUGUUGCAGUUAAAAGCUCGUAGUUGAAUUUCGAGACCGGUCUACUGGUCGUGCUUUUGUACAUACUGGUAUAAUCGGUUUCUCUCUUCUGACGAACUAUAAUGCCAUUAAUUUGGUGUUUUAGGGAAUCAGGACUGUUACUUUGAAAAAUUAGAGUGUUUAAAGCAGGCUCACGCUUGAAUACAUUAGCAUGGAAUAACGAAAUAGGACGUUUGAUUCUAUUUUGUUGGUUUCUAGGAUCGACGUAAUGAUUAAUAGGGAUAGUUGGGGGCAUUAGUAUUCAAUUGUCAGAGGUGAAAUUCUUGGAUUUAUUGAAGACUAACUACUGCGAAAGCAUUUGCCAAGGAUGUUUUCAUUAAUCAAGAACGAAAGUUAGGGGAUCGAAGACGAUCAGAUACCGUCGUAGUCUUAACCAUAAACUAUGCCGACUAGGGAUCGGAUGAUGUUAAAUUAAUGACUCAUUCGGCACCUUACG
rnacentral:rRNA from 1 species